rnacentral:rRNA from 1 species
CCUACGGGGGGCAGCAGUGGGGAAUAUUGGACAAUGGGCGAAAGCCUGAUCCAGCCAUGCCGCGUGUGUGAAGAAGGCCUUCGGGUUGUAAAGCACUUUCAGUGGGGAAGAAAGCCUUGGGGCUAAUACCCUCGAGGAAGGACAUCACCCACAGAAGAAGCACCGGCUAACUCCGUGCCAGCAGCCGCGGUAAUACGGAGGGUGCGAGCGUUAAUCAGAAUUACUGGGCGUAAAGCGCGCGUAGGCGGUCUGAUAAGCCGGUUGUGAAAGCCCCGGGCUCAACCUGGGAACGGCAUCCGGAACUGUCAGGCUAGAGUGCAGGAGAGGAAGGUAGAAUUCCCGGUGUAGCGGUGAAAUGCGUAGAGAUCGGGAGGAAUACCAGUGGCGAAGGCGGCCUUCUGGACUGACACUGACGCUGAGGUGCGAAAGCGUGGGUAGCAAACAGGAUUAGAUACCCCGGUAGUC